rnacentral:rRNA from 1 species
UACGGAGGGUGCAAGCGUUGUCCGGAAUCACUGGGCGUAAAGGGCGCGUAGGCGGCUCAUGAAGGCUGUGGUGAAAGUCCGGGGCUCAACCUCGGAUCGGCCGUGGCGACUCGUGGGCUGGAGCACUGUAGAGGCGGGUGGAAUUCCGGGUGUAGCGGUGGAAUGCGUAGAGAUCCGGAAGAACACCCGUGGCUAAGGCGGCUCUCUAGUACGGUACUGACGCUGAGACGCGAAAGCGUGGGGAGCGAACAGG